UCAUGUCAACACCGGUUCCUGUAUGAUCGCCAGAGUUAAGCACUGUCAAGCCUGGUCAGUACUUAGAUGGGUGACCACUUGGGAAUACCAAGUGCUGUAA